rnacentral:rRNA from 1 species
UACAGAGGCCCCGAGCGUUAUUCGGAAUCACUGGGCUUAAAGGGUGCGUAGGCGGACUCGUAAGUGUCGUGUGAAAGCCCACCGCUUAACGGUGGAACUGCACGGCAAACUGCAAGUCUCGAGGAAGGUAGAGGCCGGUAGAACGAAUGGUGGAGCGGUGGAAUGCGUAGAUAUCAUUCGGAAUGCCAAAGGUGAAGACAGCCGGCUGGGCCUUUCCUGACGCUGAGGCACGAAAGCGUGGGGAGCAAACAGG